rnacentral:rRNA from 1 species
AAUCUUCCGCAAUGGACGCAAGUCUGACGGAGCAACGCCGCGUGAACGAUGAAGGCCUNCGGGUCNUNAAGUUCUGUUGUUAGGGNAGAACAAGUACCAUUAGAAUAGGGUGGUACCUUGACGGUACCUAACCAGAAAGCCACGGCCAACUACAUGCCAGCAACCGCGGUAAUACGUAGGUGGCAAGCGUUGUCCGGAAUUAUUGGGCGUAAAGCGCGCGCAGGCGGUCUUUUAAGUCUGAUGUAAAAGCCCCCGGCUCAACCGGGGAGGGUCAUUGGAAACUGGGAGACUUGAGUGCAGAAGAGGAGAGUGGAAUUCCAUGUGUAGCGGUGAAAUGCGUAGAGAUAUGGAGGAACACCAGUGGCGAAGGCGACUCUCUGGUCUGUAACUGACGCUGAGGCGCGAAAGCGUGGGGAGCAAAC